CAAAAAGGUGAGUUUUUGUUACAUUAACUUCAGCAGUGUACAUAUGAGUGCAGAUGUUUUACUUUUCCUCUUAAUUCAUUUUCAGAUUCAUCAUGAGAGCUCUUGUGCUUCUUUUCUUGGUCUUUUCUGUUGAGAGUGCACCAGCUGAAGAGAAAUGCUCUUAUGGAUGGACACCUUUUGGUGUUCAAUGCUACAAAUUCUUCUCUAAGUCAGUUGACUGGAUCACAGCUGAGAAAAACUGUCAAUCUGUUGAUGCAAAUCUUGCAUCUGUGCGCAAUAAAGUGGAAUACAACUUUCUCCUAAGUCUUGCACCUUCUGGCACACGUGCUUGGAUUGGUGGCCAUGAUGGUGAAGUGG